CUCGAACUCUUGUCUACACUAUCUAAAGAAUCUCCUAUAACCAUGGCUGCAAUUAAACUCUCGAUUUGUUUGCUUUUAUGCCUUAUUGGGGCAGCUUCUGGUGGUUCUGCUAAUAAGUUACGCCCAGACUUUUAUAAUUUACAAUGUCCCCUGGCACUUCAAAUCAUUAGGGAAGAAGUAACCACUGCUUUGAAGAAGGAACCUACCAUGGGUUUAGCCUUCUUCAGUCUUCAUUUCACUGAUUGCUUUGUUCAAGGAUGCGAUGCAUCAAUUCUGCUAAAAGACACACAAAAUUUCACGGGCGAACAAAGUGCUGUUCCCGAUGCUGGUUCUACAAAUGGCACGGAUAUUAUAGAGAAGAUAAAGGGUAGACUGGAAAAACUGUGCCCUGGUGUUGUUUCUUGCGCUGACAUUGUAGCUGUUGCUGCAAGAGAUUCUGUUGUUGCU
rnacentral:sRNA from 1 species